rnacentral:rRNA from 1 species
AGUCGAACGAUGAAACCGCCCUCGGGCGGACAUGAAGUGGCGAACGGGUGAGUAACACGUGACCAACCUGCCCCUUGCUCCGGGACAACCUUGGGAAACCGAGGCUAAUACCGGAUACUCCUCGCCCCCCUCCUGGGGGGCCCGGGAAAGCCCAGACGGCAAGGGAUGGGGUCGCGGCCCAUUAGGUAGUAGGCGGGGUAACGGCCCACCUAGCCCGCGAUGGGUAGCCGGGUUGAGAGACCGACCGGCCACAUUGGGACUGAGAUACGGCCCAGACUCCUACGGGAGGCAGCAGUGGGGAAUUUUGCGCAAUGGGGGAAACCCUGACGCAGCAACGCCGCGUGCGGGACGACGGCCUUCGGGUUGUAAACCGCUUUCAGCAGGGAAGAAAUUCGACGGUACCUGCAGAAGAAGCUCCGGCUAACUACGUGCCAGCAGCCGCGGUAAUACGUAGGGAGCGAGCGUUAUCCGGAUUCAUUGGGCGUAAAGAGCGCGUAGGCGGCCUCUCAAGCGGGAUCUCUAAUCCGAGGGCUCAACCCCCGGCCGGAUCCCGAACUGGGAGGCUCGAGUUCGGUAGAGGCAGGCGGAAUUCCCGGUGUAGCGGUGGAAUGCGCAGAUAUCGGGAAGAACAGCG